rnacentral:misc_RNA from 1 species
GAUGAAGAACGCAGCGAAAUGCGAUAAGUAAUGUGAAUUGCAGAAUUCCGUGAAUCAUCGAAUCUUUGAACGCACAUUGCGCCCUCUGGUAUUCCGGGGGGCAUGCCUGUCCGAGCGUCAUUGCUGCCCUCAAGCACGGCUUGUGUGUUGGGCCUCCGUCCUCCUCCCGGGGGACGGGCCCGAAAGGCAGCGGCGGCACCGCGUCCGGUCCUCGAGCGUAUGGGGCUUCGUCACCCGCUCUUGUAGGCCCGGCCGGCGCUUGCCGACACAUCAAUCUUUUUUCCAGGUUGACCUCGGAUCAGGUAGGGAUACCCGCUGAACUUAAGCAUAUCAAUAGCGGAGGA